AAACUCCACCUCCAGACCUUAAUUUCUGGUCCCAUUUGUUCAAAGCGUUCUGUGGCUUGGUUCAUAUUGUGUCUGUGUUCAGAGUUUAUUCCUGAGCCCUCCGGGUUUUAAGGAAGGAGGCUGAAGGCUUCGACCCUGCUGCCUGGCUGCGAUGCUGCUCACGCUGGGACCGGUGCUCCUGCUGGGCCUGACGCUGUCCCUGUUGGACCCGGCCUCCGGAGCCUCCUCUCUGGGGCUGACCGUGUUCGCUGUGCCCCAGGACGGUGAUGGAGGAACAACGGUGCGAGCCUAUUUUACAGCCAUCGCUCCCAGUCCUUGUCCAUCCCUGUCUGGACUGUGUGCUGCAGGCGAGGACUGUCGCGUCUACUCCACCUCCCUGCCCUUUAACGGCACGCUGCCCAGUCCGGGCUGGUGUGUCCGUCAGUGGCAGAAGGUCGUCCCCAGCAGCUAUAACGCCUCCUUCGCCUUGGGGUCCAACACAGACGUGCAUGUAGUGAUGAAGGCAGGACCCACCGUCCGGCCGAACACUGGGAGGCUCAAUCAGCCUCCGUAUGUCGCGCUCCCUCCUCCACUGAGAGCGCGCGUGAACUGCCCUCACGACGUCUUUCUGUCUGUGAAAGACCUGGACGGGGACCGAGUGCGAUGCCGCUACGCGCGUCCUGAGGACGGAGAGUGUGACAACUGCAAACAGUUCCAGUUCCUGGAACUGGAUGAGGAACGCUGUCUGCUGACGUUCACUGGACGAGCACAGGCCGGACAGUACUCCAUCCACCUGGUGGCAGAGGAUUUUAGUCCUUCACCUAAGAUGAGGCUGGUCACAGACCAAACGCCGCUCAGCUCCGUCCCGGUGCAGCUCACUCUCACUGUGGAGGCCUCAAACACCUUCUGCAGUAGCGAACCUGUGGCGUACGGGGAGACGCCCAGAGACGGCGCCGCGCUGUUCCUUCUGCCGUUCCAGCAGGAGACGUUCACCGUCAGCUUCGACUCACGGUCCGAGAGCGUUUCUGACAUAGCGGUGGUCGGUCCCCCCGAGCUCUUCAGAACCAACUUCAAGUCAUUGGGGCCCCUGGCGGCGCUGACCAUGGCCUGGGUCCGGUCCAACAACACUCUGCCUCACCUUUUGCCUGUCUGCUACGUUGCCAAUACCAUAAAUUUACAGUCAGAGCCCAGAUGUGUGUGGCUGUACCAAAGGCAGAUGAAGGCACUCCCUGCUGGAACAGAGCUGAGUUGUCAGAAGACUGAGAUGGUGCUGGUGCUCCCGGUCGCCUCCCUGAAAAACAUCAAGCUGGCAGAACUGCAGCUCAACAGUGCCACCUGUCCCAUCAGCUACAACAGCACACACCUGACUGCACACAUCUCCCUGAGCGGCUGUGGCACCAAGGCUGUGCAAGCUGGUUCAGAGCUGGUUUACACCAACACCUUGCAAAGUGUGCAGCCGUACACGGUGAUCAGCCGCAGGCCGUCCCUCAUCCUGCCGUUGGCCUGUAGGAUCCCUGGAGCCCAAGUCAGGGGUCCACAGUACAACGCGUCCGUCCCUACGGAGCAGGAGGCCUUUGGUGCGUUUAACUUCCAGCUGGACUUUUACCUCCCAGGACAAGGGCCCCUGUCAAAAUUCACUCGCAGCCCCACCUUUCGCACCUUCCAGCCAUCAGCACGAAGGCGUCGAGACGUUGUCUCGUCCUCCGGAGACAAUAGAAUCUCCAUCAAGUCCACGAGUGGUGACAACUCCAGAAUCACGCAGCUGGACAUGUAUGUGACGUCCAACUGCAGCGUGGCUGCAGCGGAGCUGAUAGUGAGCCACUGUAUGGAGUCUGACACCGAGGACUUCACCGUGAACACCCCCAUUUUACAGCAAGGGUGUUUGGCUUCCAACAGCAUAUUGGAAAUUCUUACAACAAACACCAAUGUCAAGAUUUACCGACUUGAUCUGAGCACCUUGGCACCAAAAGGAUCAAUGAUGUACGUUCAGUGCACAGUCAACCUGUGCAUCACUACCACGCCCUCCUCCACCUGCCCUGAUCUGUGCAGCCGUGCCACCAGUGCAGGACCACUGGUGUCCAGUUUCUUGACCAAAUCCUACAACGUGACCUCAGGAGCCAUCAGCCUGUUGGUCACCACUCCUGCACCAUCCACAACUGUCAACACUGCAGCUCCCACUGCCACUGGUGCCACUGGUUCCACCACCAAACCCGCAGCCACCCACAGCACCACCCGCUCGUAUGCUCCAGGACGGGCUCCAGGAGUGGCAGCAGCAGCGAUUUUGACAACCCUGAGUGUAUUUCUCCAAAACACCUUUUCUUACUAA
rnacentral:lncRNA from 1 species